rnacentral:tRNA from 1 species
GUAAGUAUAGUUUAACCAAAAUAUUAGAUUGUGAUUCUAAUGACAGGAGUUAAAAUCUCCUUACUCACC